rnacentral:lncRNA from 1 species
GUUCUCCUUGUGCUGUGCUGUUAAUUUCUGAGCUGAAUGUGAUUCUAUAGAGCCGGGGCUACGGCGGGUUGGUGUGAUGACAGCGCGAUGCAUUGAAGAUGUCUAGGACAGCUGAUCAAGUGGUCAUUGGUGAGGCCAGCGGCUUGCAUGAACGAAUAAAUUACAGUGGGCCCAACCAACCUGAAACCCCUCCUCACCAUGUCUUUGCUGAUGCUCUCUGAUUUCGAGGUCUUCACUGGGAUCUUGUGGCAUGAUUUGUACUGGGUGGUAAUGGGCUUGUGAUUCACAAAUCCCCAGAUAUACUUGUG